GUGUUCUCAGGGCUACUACACUCCAGUGGAUGGCUCCAGGUGUAUAGAUGCCCGGGGUGGGUACUGCUAUGCCAGCCUGCUGAACGGGCGUUGUGCCAACCAGAACUCCCCAGCUCCUGACCAAGAUACAGUGCUGCUGUGACAGUGGGCGGCUGCUGGUCAGACGGGUCCAGUCCUGAGUUGUGCCCCAUGACAGGGACUGAUGAGUACCAGAAGCUGUGCACACAGGUGCAGACCAGUCCAGGGGGGGGGCUCUCCCAGGCGGGGGAGGGACUCUCCCAGGGUGGAGGAGGGCCUCUCCCAGGCGGGGGAGGGGGAAGACC